ACCCCGGGCGUGUGGACACUGCGCCUGCGUACACUUCGCUCCGCCCCGCCACGCCUCCUGCACCCACAAAAGUUUACUCUGCUUUUGGAUCCCAGUGCUGCGACCUCUUGUGUGACCCGGCAGGGUGGCCUUCCCCAGGCUAACCUAUGCGGCCCCUCCAUCCAGUGUGGGAUCCGGGUUCUUAUUCGCAGCGUGGAGACGGUAUCUGACUGUCACUUCAGUGUUUUAGGCGCUCAGGAGUUUCUGAGCCAGCGACCCCAUCCAGACUUCCUAGUGUUUUGGGUGGAGGUGGACUGGACAAGAGCUGGCCCACUUACAGAAAUGAGAUCAGAGUCGACUACGUGUGGUUCUAAGAAAAUGCUACUCGGAGAAACCGACCAGGAGGAUAGGAGCUCCAGGCAGCAUGCCUACAUUUAGGAUGGGAGAGAGGCAAUGACUUGUAUUCCUUGAAGAGAAGAACAAAGGCUUCCUUGCAGUCCUCCAGUAGUCUUACAUCACAGUGUCCAAAGCUGAGUCAAUGGACUGAAGUAGAGGGAAAGAAAGCUGCAUCCUUUCCAGCCUUUGCAGUGAGGAUGUCAACGGGGAAAACUGGAAAUGCUGUUGCCCGUGCUAGCCAACCUGCCCACACUGACUGGGGAUCAAAUGGAUGUUGCUGGAAAGCAGCGUUUACUGGAUGUUUACAAUGGAGAAAUGAUUACACCCUGCCAGGAAUUCAGUCUACUGCUUUGUUUUCCACUGAUGAGCAAAUUGGAUUAAUUUAAAACACGUGGAGAAGAAAGUCCUCCUUCGUUUGCC